UGCGGCGGCACUAGCGCGGUGGUCCCACCUGACCCCAUGCCGAACUCAGAAGUGAAACGCCGUAGCGCCGAUGGUAGUGUGGGGUCUCCCAUGGUAGGGGGCACGCCAUCAAAC
rnacentral:rRNA from 1 species